GGUUAAGCGACUAAGCGUACACGGUGGAUGCCCUGGCAGUCAGAGGCGAUGAAGGACGUGCUAAUCUGCGAUAAGCGUCGGUAAGGUGAUAUGAACCGUUAUAACCGGCGAUUUCCGAAUGGGGAAACCCAGUGUGUUUCGACACACUAUCAUUAACUGAAUCCAUAGGUUAAUGAGGCGAACCGGGGGAACUGAAACAUCUAAGUACCCCGAGGAAAAGAAAUCAACCGAGAUUCCCCCAGUAGCGGCGAGCGAACGGGGAGCAGCCCAGAGCCUGAAUCAGUGUGUGUGUUAGUGGAAGCGUCUGGAAAGGCGCGCGAUACAGGGUGACAGCCCCGUACACAAAAAUGCACAUGCUGUGAGCUCGAUGAGUAGGGCGGGACACGUGGUAUCCUGUCUGAAUAUGGGGGGACCAUCCUCCAAGGCUAAAUACUCCUGACUGACCGAUAGUGAACCAGUACCGUGAGGGAAAGGCGAAAAGAACCCCGGCGAGGGGAGUGAAAAAGAACCUGAAACCGUGUACGUACAAGCAGUGGGAGCACAGAGCAAUCUGUGUGACUGCGUACCUUUUGUAUAAUGGGUCAGCGACUUAUAUUCUGUAGCAAGGUUAACCGAAUAGGGGAGCCGAAGGGAAACCGAGUCUUAACUGGGCGUUAAGUUGCAGGGUAUAGACCCGAAACCCGGUGAUCUAGCCAUGGGCAGGUUGAAGGUUGGGUAACACUAACUGGAGGACCGAACCGACUAAUGUUGAAAAAUUAGCGGAUGACUUGUGGCUGGGGGUGAAAGGCCAAUCAAACCGGGAGAUAGCUGGUUCUCCCCGAAAGCUAUUUAGGUAGCGCCUCGUGAAUUCAUCUCCGGGGGUAGAGCACUGUUUCGGCAAGGGGGUCAUCCCGACUUACCAACCCGAUGCAAACUGCGAAUACCGGAGAAUGUUAUCACGGGAGACACACGGCGGGUGCUAACGUCCGUCGUGAAGAGGGAAACAACCCAGACCGCCAGCUAAGGUCCCAAAGUCAUGGUUAAGUGGGAAACGAUGUGGGAAGGCCCAGACAGCCAGGAUGUUGGCUUAGAAGCAGCCAUCAUUUAAAGAAAGCGUAAUAGCUCACUGGUCGAGUCGGCCUGCGCGGAAGAUGUAACGGGGCUAAACCAUGCACCGAAGCUGCGGCAGCGACGCUUAUGCGUUGUUGGGUAGGGGAGCGUUCUGUAAGCCUGCGAAGGUGUGCUGUGAGGCAUGCUGGAGGUAUCAGAAGUGCGAAUGCUGACAUAAGUAACGAUAAAGCGGGUGAAAAGCCCGCUCGCCGGAAGACCAAGGGUUCCUGUCCAACGUUAAUCGGGGCAGGGUGAGUCGACCCCUAAGGCGAGGCCGAAAGGCGUAGUCGAUGGGAAACAGGUUAAUAUUCCUGUACUUGGUGUUACUGCGAAGGGGGGACGGAGAAGGCUAUGUUGGCCGGGCGACGGUUGUCCCGGUUUAAGCGUGUAGGCUGGUUUU
rnacentral:rRNA from 1 species